rnacentral:rRNA from 1 species
UACGUAGGUGGCAAGCGUUAUCCGGAUUUAUUGGGCGUAAAGGGAACGCAGGCGGUCUUUUAAGUCUGAUGUGAAAGCCUUCGGCUUAACCGGAGUAGUGCAUUGGAAGCUGGGAGACUUGAGUGCAGAAGAGGAGAGUGGAACUCCAUGUGUAGCGGUGAAAUGCGUAGAUAUAUGGAAGAACACCAGUGGCGAAAGCGACUCUCUGGUCUGUAACUGACGCUGAGGUUCGAAAGCGUGGGUAGCAAACAGG